rnacentral:rRNA from 1 species
GAUGAACGCUGGCGGCGUGCCUAAUACAUGCAAGUCGAGCGAACAGACGAGGAGCUUGCUCCUCUGACGUUAGCGGCGGACGGGUGAGUAACACGUGGAUAACCUACCUAUAAGACUGGGAUAACUUCGGGAAACCGGAGCUAAUACCGGAUAAUAUAUUGAACCGCAUGGUUCAAUAGUGAAAGACGGUUUUGCUGUCACUUAUAGAUGGAUCCGCGCCGCAUUAGCUAGUUGGUAAGGUAACGGCUUACCAAGGCAACGAUGCGUAGCCGACCUGAGAGGAUGAUAGGCCACACUGGAACUGAGACACGGUCCAGACUCCUACGGGAGGCAGCAGUAGGGAAUCUUCCGCAAUGGGCGAAAGCCUGACGGAGCAACGCCGCGUGAGUGAUGAAGGUCUUCGGAUCGUAAAACUCUGUUAUUAGGGAAGAACAAAUGUGUAAGUAACUAUGCACGUCUUGACGGUACCUAAUCAGAAAGCCACGGCUAACUACGUG